rnacentral:lncRNA from 1 species
AUGCCCUCUUCCUCCUCAGAGUCCUUCAUUCCCAUAAUCUCUUUCACAUUCCUGGGCCAAAUACUCACCACAAUCAAGCCAAGUCCAACAAAGAGUGCAACAAUGGCUGUGGUGGCAGCCAGAGAAAUGAGGAUGAUUCCAAUGGGCGUCAGGAGCCCAGUGGGCUUCACUGCAGUUACUGAAUCUGUUCCCUCAGAGUGAGUGUUGAGAUGCUUAGUGGUAUAAUCCUCUGUGGUUCCUGGGUCUGCAGUGGUGUAGUCCUUGGUGGUCCCCAGGUCAGCAGUGGUGUAGUCCUCAGUGGUCCCCAGGUCUACAGUGGUGUAGUGCUCAGUGGUCCCCAGGUCUGAAGUGUCAUAGUCCUCAGGGGUCUCCAAGUGUUCAGUGGUAUAGUCUUCAAUAGUGCCUGGGCCGUGAAUGACAUGGUCCUCAGUGGGCCCCAGGUCUGCAGUGGUGUAAUCCUUGGUGGUCCCUGGGUCUGCAGUGAAAGAGUCUUCAGUGGUACCCAGGUCUACAGUGGUGUAGUCCUCAGUGGUCCUCGGGUCAUCAGUGAUGUAGUCCUCAAUGGUCCCCAGGUCUGCAGCAAAAGAGUCUUUGGUGGUUCCCAGGUCUGCUGUGGUAUAGUCCUCAGGCCCCAGGGCUACAGUAGUAUAGUCAUCAUAGGCCCCUGAGUCUGUAGUGGUGUAGUACUCAGAGGUCUCCAGGUGUUCAGUGGUGUAGUCCUCAGUGGUGCCUGGCGCCUCAAUGACGUGAUCCUCAAUGGUCCCCAGAUCAUCAGUGAUAUUGUCCUCAGUGGGCCCCAGGUCUGCAGUGGUGUAGUCCUCAAGGGUCUCCAGGGGUUCAGUGGUGUAGUCCUCAUUGGUACCUAGGGCCUCAAUGAUAUGAUCUUCAG